rnacentral:lncRNA from 1 species
AUGGUGGGGCAGCUGGAGAUCAUGAGUGAUUCGGAUGUGGCUUUACCUCAGUGGGCGCUCUCAUACCUGCUCUUACUCUUCACACUGCCAAUCUGGAGUGCCACCACCUUAUGGGACAGAUAUCAGAAAUGGAUCACUAAUGCUAUGACUGUGGCAUACUGGCUCUGGCACGGUAUUAAAAUCUUCAUGAUUUUUGUACUCAAAAUUGUACUGUCCUCCACAAGAAAAGCCUUUGGAGAUAUGAUGCUCAGUCUGAUCAGUUUCAUACCUGCGCAAGUUCACCAUGAACACCAUGAGAGACACGUGAUGACCUCCUCGGAUCUGAAUGGGCACGUCUCCGCUGUCUUCCCGCCGACUCCAUCCAUGGCACAAACCCUCACAAAGCUCUUCACACUCCUGUUUUCACUAGAGACAGAGAGCAAGUGGAGAAGACGCAAGAUAGAGGUGCAACACACAUUACAGCAGCACGUGGCCGAAGUGAAAAGAAAUUAA